ensembl:snoRNA
ACCCCCUGGCAAUGGGCGAAGAGACACCUGAUUGGUGGUGUUGUUCUUAUAUCAGUCAUGGGAAAAGCAGAUGUGUAUAUAGUCCUCUGUUCAUCCUAGCUUGAUGCCUGGGUUGGUGGCCAGAGCUGUUUCAUGCCUAGGACACAUGG